GUCUCGGGGAGUGAAGGAGGAGGGAGGAAGCCAGAGAUGGGAUCAGACAGGUAACAGAACAAAGCAUCUGGCUGUGUAGGUCAAGGACUUCUCAUAUGUUUUGACCAAGGUGCACAUUACAAAGAUUAAUGAUUUUGUAUUCCUGGAGAAUCUAGAUGCUCACCUCCUACAAAGGCUGUAUAGGAAGUACGGCGGCAUCUGCUCAGGCCUCAGGAAAACUACCAUCAUGGCAGAAGGUGAAGGGGGAACCAGCACUUCACGCCAGGAGCAGCAGGAAGCGGGAGAGGUGCUACACACUUUGAAACAGCCAGAUCUCAUGAGAACUCACUAUCUCCAUAACAGCACCAAGGAGGAUGGUGUUAAACCAUGAGAAACCAGCUCCGUGAUCCAAUCACCUCCUACCAGGCUCCAUCUUCAACAAUGGGAAUUACAGUUCGACAUGAAAUUUGGGCAAAGACGCAGAUUCAAACCAUAGCACCCACAGAUGGGUGCUGCACAGCCAAGGCUUUCUGUUUGGAGCUGGCCAUUAAAUACCCAGUUGCUGUGCCCAUUCACUGGCAUGCCAAUUAAUACUUUCUAAUAUAAUUUAAUAAACCCUUCCCUUUGUGAGUGGCCGAAUGGCUACUACUACUCAGUUUUCAAGACUCAGUUUCACUAUGUAGAUAAAUUUGUGAAAGAAUUGAGAAAACUGUUAAGAUUAGUUGUCUCUGGGCAAGGAGAGUAGGGGUGACCAUGAGAGGGACUUUUCGCUAUAUAGCCUUCUAUGCUAUUUGAAUAUCUCACAAUAUUAGUGUAUUAUUUUUAUAAUUGGAUUUCCGAAAGUUAGAGAAAUGAGGGUGUCGUCUUUGUUUUUUGGUUUAAAAAUGACCUAAAAUGUCUUGUAAAGAAGGCACAAAAGCCAUGUGGGAAAUAAAAAGUAAAAAUACCUUAGGUGGUUUUUAAAAAUUAUUGUCUUAAACAUCACUGAGAGCUGUCAUCUCAUAUAAAAUGUACUCAUUAACACGCCAAAGGAUAAAAUAAAUAAGUAAAUAAGGAGUGUGUUGUAUGUCCUUUGUAUAUGCAAAGCAGUUCUCUCAUCCACCAUUAGUGUGCCAUCAGCCUUCCUCUUCAGUUCCUCCCUGACUGUGGGACGUGCCCAGGCUUCUGAACUGGGUACACCCAGUUGUCCUGUUAGUCUUCCUACCACAUGCACCCUGGUAUCCUACCACAGUACCGUAUACUGUACUCUUCGUUUCAAAUGUGAAUCAGGUGUAUUUGAUCAUUUGAUUUUCAUUAUAACCCUGGAGAAAUAAUGAAAGACAGGUAUUACCGCUUUGCUGAUGAGGAAAACCUCUGCAGUUUUUCAUGGAGCUAGGAUGAGAAUCCUGGUCUCCUAACCAUGAAGGACGUUUUCUCUACUUCUCCCAUGCUGCCUCAUCUCUCAGAUUUUUAGACCUGGACUCCCAAACCACCAUGCAUGCAUUCCGUUUUUUUAAAUGUGAUUAUUCUAGUGAUACUGUAAACAUAGCUUCCUAAUUCUCUUCUAAUGCUAUUUCACAGUACUCUACUCUUUUCCUGAUAACAUAAAAAAUUGA